CAUGGUUCCGUCUCUCAAGCAUCGCUAGGCCUACAUCACAAGGCUCAAGCGACCCACCUCCUCCACCUCAACCCCGACCAACACCUCGCCGUCAGGUCACAGUCCGACCACCGGUAAAACAACCGUCACCUCCACGUCAGCAACAACCUCCUUCGCCUCCACGUCAGCAACAACCUCCUUCCCCUCCACGUCAGCAACAACCUCCUUCCCCUCCACGUCACCAAACACCUCCACCUCCUCAAGAGCGGUCCCCAUAUCAUUCACCGCCAAGCCGCCACAUGUCGCCACCGACCCCACCAAAGGCUGCGUCGCCGUCUCCACCACCGCCACAGCCGCCUAGGUCGUCAU
rnacentral:lncRNA from 1 species